rnacentral:rRNA from 1 species
GCAUAAUUUUUUGUGGUGCAUUUACUUGAUUGGUGCUUGGGGAUGUUUGAGGCAGAUUUGUUUCCGCCGUUUUGAGGCCAGCUUGCUGGUACCCAAACGGUGUUAGCAUUUUUUGUCUUGGGCAUUUGAGUAUGGCUCACGGGUAUUUAUUGGACAGAUCUGAGUGUAAGUUACGGUCGCAUGCGACACGUGCUUUUCAAUUAGUUCGGUCCAGUUAAUGCUCUCGUACUCGUUCCCCAUGUAAAAGCCGGUCAUCUAUCCGACCCGUCUUGAAACACGGACCAAGGAGUUUAUCGUGUGCGCAAGUUUUUGGGUGUUAAAAACUUAAAAGCGAAAUGAAAGUAAAUGACUCUUUAGAGUCUGAUGUGCGAUCUUGUAAAAAAGUGUAGCAUGGCCCCAUUCUAACUGUUUACAGUAGGGUGGCGGAAGAGCGUACGCGGUGAGACCCGAAAGAUGGUGAACUAUUCCUGAGCAGGACGAAGCCAGAGGAAACUCUGGUGGAAGUCCGAAGCGGUUCUGACGUGCAAAUCGAUCGUCUGACUUGGGUAUAGGGGCGAAAGACUAAUCGAACCAUCUAGUAGCUGGU